AGCGGCUCUGUGAGUCUUGUGUUUAUUCUCUCAAGUGGCUGAAGACACUCUGUUUCACAAGUUCAGAGAGUGUUUUUGUAGUGUUUGUUACAGGAAUUUGCUUUCACAGAAUCAACAUUGCAAGAAGGAAAUAGCAAAAAACUUGGAAAAGAAGAAAUGAGAGGAGAGAUGGUAAGAGGGAGACAGAGACAGCCAGUGAUGGAGUGAAAGAGAGAUGCCAGGAGUAAAUCUCUUCUCUCUGUUGAGGCAAUGUGAUCCCCUUCUCCGCUUGGCUGCUUUUGACUGGAACUCCUGUUCUUCCCUCCCAGAACAAUGCAGCGUACUCAUGUAUUUUUGUGUACACACCAGCGGGAAGCAGCACUGAGCAAGAAAGAUAUGCAGACAGGAAGCAGAGUGUUUACUCAACACAUUUUGAACAAACACAAAUAAACUUUUCUGAAGUGACAGGCACAGAUAGUCUCUGGCAUUCAUGCUGAGAGCCUUCUCAGAACACAUUAUACAGAAAUCACACAUAAA